CCUACGGGUGGCAGCAGUGGGGAAUAUUGCACAAUGGGGGAAACCCUGAUGCAGCGACGCCGCGUGAGUGAAGAAGUAAUUCGGUAUGUAAAGCUCUAUCAGCAGGGAAGAAAAUGACGGUAUCUGAGUAAGAAGCCCCGGCUAACUACGUGCCAGCAGCCGCGGUAAUACGUAGGGGGCAAGCGUUAUCCGGAUUUACUGGGUGUAAAGGGCGCGUAGACGGCAGUGCAAGUCUGGUGUGAAAGGCGGGGGCUCAACCCCCGGACUGCACUGGAAACUGUACGGCUGGAGUGCAGGAGAGGUAAGUGGAAUUCCUAGUGUAGCGGUGAAAUGCGUAGAUAUUAGGAGGAACACCAGUGGCGAAGGCGGCUUACUGGACUGUAACUGACGUUGAGGCUCGAAAGCGUGGGGAGCAAACAGGAUUAGAUACCCCGGUAGUC
rnacentral:rRNA from 1 species